UAAUAUGUAAGUUAAUGUAACAUAAUGUAACUUCCUACUGGAUUUGUAGCAGAUGGUUUGUUUCUGAGUGAUAAAUUUUUCAUUACCACAAAAUUGCUUACUCGAAAUGCUACCAUGCCGGUAGAGUCACUCCACCCAUUAAUAAUUUAAUACCAGUUUUCUAAGAGUGUAUGUACUUGCACCGAAGUCAACGUAAAUCGCAAUUGUUUUUGCUACCAACUUGCUUAGAGUGUACGUUUUUAAAAAUAAUUUUAAAAACUUUUACAAAGUAAAAAAAACGUUCUUGCUCUGGGUACUUAAGUUUUCAAAAAUGUGCAUGCUGCCCAUACGAAUGGCGAGAUCGACUUCCGAACAUCACAUGGUGGGUGUGCCGCCGCAUACGGAUUACGUUGGCUCGGAGUCAGAUUUAUUCGUCAAUUUGAGAACUUUCAGACACAAAAGUGUUCACUAAAGCGAGGCAAAUGGCUCAUCUAGAUGAUUUUGUGUUAAUCCAUAUGUACAUACACCGAUGCUAAUAUGUGUAUUUACAUAUCUAUGUAUAUAUAAGUAUCUAUGUAUGUAUGGUAAUGAUACUUAAAAAAUACAACCAA